GGGCUCCCAGGACUGCUGCCGCCAGCACCGCCAGCGGAGAGGAAUCGGGGGUGCCCGGGGAGCCUAUCAAAGGAGCCAAAACACCCCCCCCACAGAGAUUGAGCCGGAAAGACACCCGACCACCCCCCCCAACAGCCGAGAGGAGCUCCAAUACCAGGAGGACAGUGGAGCUAACGCAGAGAGGGAGAAAAAGAAAAGGGGG